rnacentral:rRNA from 1 species
GACGAACGCUGGCGGCGUGCUUAACACAUGCAAGUCGAACGGUGAAGGGACCAGCUUGCUGGUUCUGGAUGAGUGGCGAACGGGUGAGUAACACGUGAGUAACCUGCCCCCUUCUUCUGGAUAACCGCAUGAAAGUGUGGCUAAUACGGGAUAUUCUGGGUCUGUCUCAUGGCGGGCCCGGGAAAGAUAUUGCUUCGUUGGUGGAUGGGCUCGCGGCCUAUCAGCUUGUUGGUGGGGUGAUGGCCUACCAAGGCGGUGACGGGUAGCCGGCCUGAGAGGGUGGAAGGUGACACUGGGACUGAGACAAGGACCAGAAUCCUACGGGAGGCAGCAGUGGGGAAUAUUGCACAAUGGGCGAAAGCCUGAUGCAGCGACGCCGCGUGAGGGAUGGAGGCCUUCGGGUUGUAAACCUCUUUCGCCAGUGAAGCAGGCCUGCUCCUUGUGGGUGGGUUGACGGUAGCUGGAUAAGAAGCGCCGGCUAACUACGUG